UUAGGGUCGCUAACCCAACCAGCUGAUGAGACGGAGAGAUUAUUCUGGAUCGACUGCAUGGGUCCAGUCUGACCUCCUGAGUCCUUAAACAGUGAAGAGGGAAGUACAGCAUUCGGUGUUCGAAGGAUUCAGUGGCCUCCUAAGUCCCAACCAGCAUAAUGGAAUGCAAGAAUGUGAACAAGAAAACAGACGUUAACGGACCCGAUUCAAUCCAAUCAAAGUGGUAAUACUCGAUGCUGGUGUGACUGAAGUAAAACUAGUAAUGCUCA